rnacentral:rRNA from 1 species
AAUGGACGCGAGUCUGAACCAGCCAAGUAGCGUGAAGGAUGACUGCCCUAUGGGUUGUAAACUUCUUUUAUAAGGGAAUAAAGUGAGGGACGUGUCCCUUUUUGUAUGUACCUUAUGAAUAAGGAUCGGCUAACUCCGUGCCAGCAGCCGCGGUAAUACGGAGGAUCCAAGCGUUAUCCGGAUUUAUUGGGUUUAAAGGGAGCGUAGGUUGACAUAUAAGUCAGCUGUGAAAGUUUACGGCUCAACCGUGAAAUUGCAGUUGAUACUGUAUGUCUUGAGUGUACAAGAGGUGGGCGGAAUUCGUGGUGUAGCGGUGAAAUGCUUAGAUAUCACGAAGAACUCCAAUUGCGAAGGCAGCUCACUGGGGUACAACUGACACUGAGGCUCGAAAGUGUGGGUAUCAAA